AAACUUACCUGUCAGGGGAGGUACCAUGAUCACGAAGGUGGUUUUCCCAGAGUGAGGCUUACCCAGUGCACUCCAGAUGUGCUCACCCCUGCAAUUUCCCCAAAUGUGGCAAACUCCUCUGCAUAAUUUGUGGUAGUGGGGACUGCAUUCACGCUUUCCCCUG
rnacentral:snRNA from 1 species